GGCUCCAUAGUGUAGUGGUUUGCACGUCUGCUUUACACUCAGAUGAUCCAGGGUUCGUGCCCCAGGUGGAGCCA
rfam:Pteropus alecto contig165382, whole genome shotgun sequence.